UUCUCAAAAGCACCUUCCACAGACUCUUCACUCCUCUCGUGACCCGCAUACUGCUCCAACAGAAAAUUACGAGCGCUCCAAACCUCGUCCUCUGAAGCAUCUCGACUCACUCCUAACCGCUUGUACGGAUCCCAAACACUCGUCCGGUUGAACGUAGGUACGUUGCCUACACCAGAACAACGAGCACACAAUCAACUCGAGACAAUGUCAGCCAAACAGUUCCAAUGCUAAGCAAAGUAAUUCCCUAGCAAUCAUUUAAACUUCCAAUUCUCUAUUCAUGAACAGUAAUCAAUUUAAUCAAAAUGUCAAUCUCCAGCAGUAAUGAAUCUUCGUCACCAGUCCACAGGAAGAACAACCAAACAGUUCUAAUGCUAAGCAAGUAAAUCAUUUCCUAGCAAUCAUCUAAACUUACAUUUCUUUAUCUCUGAACAGUUAUCGGAUGAUUUCUCAAGAGGCGAAUAAUAAUACCUUCGUAAGUUUCGUAAGGAAUGUCGUACGAGCAUUUGACGAACGUACGGCUUCUGGAAGACUUCUGAAGCGGAUUGUAAGACAGACUCGCCGUCUGCUUCUGCUGUAGACGUUUACCGCUGCAAGAACCAGAAACAGAUAUGGAAAAAGAUGAUUAAAAUACAGAGUUCAAUAAGCAAUCAAUCAUAGAGAGACAAUUCGAGAGGAGGAGAGACAAGUACAGGGUUUGGGGGAGGAAGGGGGAGGAUAGAUUAGGGUUGGAGAGAAGGAGCGAAGUCAUGACUGGAAGCUCCGCUCCGGCGGCGGUCUUUGGAAACUUUCUACUCUUUCAACUUCGAUGGCGAACAGUUGUCCGCCGCCGGUCGUCUUCGUCGGGGGGUUGCGAGGGAUUUCCCGGCAGCGGGUAGCUGGAGGAGGAAGCUGAAA
rnacentral:lncRNA from 1 species